GGAGGAAGGACUCAGCGAGCCUCUUCCACACCCGUCCCCACAAGAGCGGGCCCCUUGAGUGCUCUCUCCCUCCUCGUGUCCUAGGGCAGGUGGCUGAAGUAGCCCGGAAGUCCCCUUCCCCACACCUGAGCAGCUGGAAUGGAGAGUGACUCAGACCUGAUUUGUGCCCCAGCACCUCCCACCGCAGGAACCCGUGACGACCAGUGCCUGCUUCCCGGGAUUCCUGUGCACAGGCUGUGCCCGUCUGCCCCGUGGAGCAAAGGAGGGGUUGGGGGUGUGGGCACCUGGGGGUGUGGGUCAUGGUUUCCAGGGACGCCCUGGGGCAGUGCUCCUUACCCUUGGCUUCUCAUUCUUGGCCACGCAAGCACCUGAGAGCGCAAAACAGGUGGUCAAGCCUGGGCCCCCGGACCGAGUUGGGGGUCAGAACAUCAGGGGACCCACGUAUGGCCUUUCUCAGCAGCUCUCUGGUGCUUCAGUCGUGUGGCUGAGACAGGAAUCACUGGGCUCCAGGGGCGCCUGGAUGGCAUCUGACUCGAUUUUCGCUCGGGUCAUGAUCUCACAGUUUGUGAGUUCAAGCCUCAAGUUGGGCUCCACUCUGACAUCGUGGAGCCUGCUUGGGUUUCUCUCUCUCUCUCCCUCUCUCUCUCUGCCCCUCCCCCAUCCCUCUCUCUCGCUGUCUCUCUCUCUGUCUCUCAAACAAAUACAUUAAAAAAAUGAAAUAAAAUAAAAGGAAUCACUGGGUCCCAGCGAAGGGCAGGCACAGGCUGGAACGGUAGAGGUGAGAUAGAAAUCGGGUGCCAGUGCCCUGGGCGUGAGGACGGUCUGCAGCGGGGAAGAGGCGAGGGUGCCCCGAGGUGGUAAACAACUGCAGAUGGGCAAGAAGGAGCUUGCAGAAUGGGGCGCCUGGGCCCUUUCCCAGAUACGGUAAAGCCAGAGAGAAGGGCGGGAGGAGCAGGGGAGCUGGCGUGCGGGCUGGGCGGUGGCUGGGAGGCAGGGGCAGGCCUGACUCCGGGGUGCGAGGCUGGGAGAGGCCGGCUCCCCUCCGGCUAGAGGGUCACCGAGCAGUCCCAGUGAGUGAGGGGUAUGGCAGCCAUACUGUGGACCCUCAAAUCGGGUCUGGUUUACGGAGGAAAUGGGACACGAUGUCUUAUCUAGAUUUUUCCUGAGAAUCUGGCCCACGGAGGCCCUGUGCCGGGGUGGCGGAGGGGAUGUGCCCUGUGAAGAGCACUGAUCCGAAACCCUAUAAACUGGUACAAUGGCAUCGAUGUCCCCGUCUGUCCUGUGACUCACAGGCCCUGGAAACUCCACAUUUCUACACCGAGAGCAGGCGAACUUGCGGCCGUUAGGUUUUAGCGUCCACCCGGCUGGACCGAGGGACACCCAGAUAGCUGAUGAAACAUUCUUUCUGGACUCAGAAUUUAUACCCGAGCCCCUCGAUCCUCAGACCCUAAGACUCAGGCUGAAUGACACGGCAGAUGGCGGGACUUCCGGGCCGGUUCCUAUAAUAAAUGUCCUCUUACGUAUCUCUAUGCGUCCUAUCGG